rnacentral:rRNA from 1 species
AUACGGAGGGUGCAAGCGUUACUCGGAAUCACUGGGCGUAAAGCGCGCGCAGGCGGCUUGAUAAGUUGGAUGUGAAAGCCUACGGCUCAACCGUAGAACUGCAUCCAAAACUGUCAGGCUAGAGCGUGGGAGAGGAAGAUGGAAUUAGUUGUGUAGGGGUAAAAUCCGUAGAGAUAACUAGGAAUACCAAAAGCGAAGGCAAUCUUCUGGAACACUACUGACGCUGAGGCGCGAAGGCGUGGGGAGCAAACAGGAUUAGAUACCCCGGUAGUCC